rnacentral:lncRNA from 1 species
UUUUGACCUUUUAUGUUUCUUAAGGAACAUUCUUUUAAUUUUUAUUUUUAUUUUAUUUUUUUAAUUUUUAAUUUGAAUUCCAGUUAAAAAACAGAGUAUAAUAUUAGUUUCAGGCAUACAAUUUAGUGAUUGAACACUUCCAUAUAACACCUAAUGCUCAUCACAAGUGCCCUCCUUAAUUCCCAUCACCUAUUUAACCCAUCCCCCUCACAACCUCUUCUCUAGUAACCAUCAGUUUCUUCUCUAUAGUUAAGAGCCUGUUUCUUGGUUUGCCUCUUUUUUCCCCCAUGAUCAUUUGUUUCCUAAAUUUCACAUAAGUAAAAUCAUAUAGUACUUGUCUUUUUCUGACACACGUAUAUAUAGUCUUUUUCUGACUACAUAUAUAUGUAUAUUUAUAUACCGACUAUAUAUAUAAUGCAUAUAUACCACAUCUUCUUUAUUCAUUCCAUUAUAAUAUUUCAUUAUAUAUAUGUCUAGUCCAUUCCAUUAUAAUAUUCAUACAUACACACCCCACAUCUUCUUUAUCCAUUCAUCAGUCGAUGGACAUUUGGGCUCUUUCCAUAAGUUGGUCAUUGUAGAUGCUGCUGCUAUAAACACUGAGGUACAUGUAUCCCUUCUAAUUAAAUUUUUUGUAUCCUUUGGAUAAAUCUCUAGUGGUGCAACUGCUGAUUCAUAAGGUAAUUUUAUUUUUAACUUUCUGAGGAACCUUCAUUCUGUUUUCCAGAGUGGCUGUACCAGUUUACAUUUCCAUCAACAGUGAUGAGGGUUUCCAUUCUCUGCAUCCUCACCAACAUGCUCCUUAAGGUACUUUUAUAAUACCUAGUCUCUCUUGGGAUGCCUGGGUGGCUCAGUGACUGAGCAUCUGCCUUCACCUCAGGGCGUGAUCCCAGAGUCCUGGGAUCAAGUCGCACAUCAGGCUCCCUGCCUGGAGCCUGGUUCUGCCUCUGCCUGUGUCUCUGCCUCUCUCUCCAUGUCUCUCAUGAAUAAAUAAAUAAGAUCUUUAAAAAAAAAUACCUAGUCUCUCUUGUGGUCUUUCCAGUUUUAUCUUUGAAAUUAAUACUUCUUUCAUAACUUUGGCCAACUCAUAAUAUCUUAAUAUCUUUCCAACAUUUACCCGACUUCUUACUUUCUGGAUCCUGAGUUUCACUAUCAGAGGUAAUUGCUUUAUGUAUCUUCUCUCUUCUCUCUCUGCCUCUGUGUCCAUCCAUCUGUCUAUCUCUCCCAUCCUUCCUCCUUGCUUUCCUCUUUCUUUUCCCUUUUACAUGGAGAGGCCCAUACAACAGGUUUUCAGCAAUAAAGAUGCAGAUAUAAUUCCCAAAACCUAAAAUAGGCAAAAGUAGCUGAGACUAGCAGAAACCACGUAACAGUAGGUGAGGAGAAACACUGUUGGAGAAGUGUAGUGGUAGUGCAGAUUCCAGAAAAUGAAAGCAAAAAGUAUGCCCUGAAGUUAUAUAACAUACCUAAGUUGUCUUGUUUGCAAUCACAGGUAUGGGAACAGAGGUGAGUUGAGUUGUCAGCAGAAUCCAACAGAGUCAGGUUUAAAGAAG